CUGAAUGUUUAAGCCGGUGGUUGGAAGAGGAAAUGGAAUUCCCCGGACUGGUAAGAGCGCGCGCCGACACAGCCCUCUCUCAUGCGCCCAAUCAGGAGUAUGCGGUGGGAGGUGUCAUGGAUUAAUUACCAGAUACCUUUAGUCGAUGUUGAGCCGGGAUUUUGAGAUUUCCGGUGGAGCAGCACCUGUUGAUUUGUGCUGGUACCUGGAAGAGAUGUAACACCUGAUCAUGGGACAUCAAGUGACUGUGUGAAUCAAACUGCGCAUCAUGAAUUGGUGUUAUUUGACUCACCAAAUUGUACAACUGAAUGAGCACAGGAACAGUGCACUACAUAUGGGACUGGAACCAUGAAUGAGCAGGUGACUAGACUCCUAUAGUACCUGCCUCUAUUCCUUCAACACUUCUCCCUCAAUGCACAUAAACUGUCAUCAUAAGGAGUUCCCUCUGACCAGUUAAUGGAAGAGAAAAAAGUAUGGAUCUUGUGGAUAUCCUAACACAUCUCUGGCCAUUGGACCCCUAGAAACCUGUGGCAAGUCCUGGAAGUUUUUCAAGGUUCAUCUUGCACCUUUCUUACCAAAACAUGUAGAAUGCUGCCUACUUCUGCUCAUCAGUUUUAUUUAAUAUAAUUUCAUUACUAUAAUGGAUCAGUAUGAUGUUCUAUGGAAUCACAAGAUCAUCAAGGUCCCUUCAUACCAUAUAGAGAACAGCAGAGUUGAUGUAGCCUGAGACAAGACAGUAAGGACUUACUGUUGUCCCUCCUAUAGACACAUGUGAUGAGCUCUUGGGACAUGUUUCACUACUUGUGGAUCCUAGUAUUUCCUUGCUCAAUAUUCAAAAGAAAUAGGUCUGGCAUCUCUAGGAGUAUCAAAUGAAGAUGUUCAGAAACUACACAAGGUGAGUUCAUUUUCAAUUUAAAAAAAUAUUCUAUUUAUAUCUAUUAAUAAUGUAGUAAAAGCUUCCAAGUUACUCAUUAUAAAGUAAUGGCUCUGGAAACAGCAUGGUAAUUUAAAAA